AGAGUUUGAUCCUGGCUCAGGAUGAACGCUAGCGGCAGGCCUAAUACAUGCAAGUCGGACGGGAUUCAGGGAGUAGCUUGCUACAAACUGAUGAGAGUGGCGCACGGGUGCGUAACGCGUGAGCAACCUACCCAUAUCAGGGGGAUAGCCUCUCGAAAGAGAGAUUAACACCGCAUAACAUCAUUAACCGGCAUCGGUUUUUGAUCAAAUAUUUAUAGGAUAUGGAUGGGCUCGCGUGACAUUAGCUAGUUGGAGAGGUAACGGCUCACCAAGGCUACGAUGUCUAGGGGCUCUGAGAGGAGAAUCCCCCACACUGGUACUGAGACACGGACCAGACUCCUACGGGAGGCAGCAGUAAGGAAUAUUGGUCAAUGGAGGCAACUCUGAACCAGCCAUGCCGCGUGCAGGAUGACUGCCCUAUGGGUUGUAAACUGCUUUUGUCAGGGAAUAAACCUUUCUACGUGUAGAAAGCUGAAUGUACCUGAAGAAUAAGGAUCGGCUAACUCCGUGCCAGCAGCCGCGGUAAU
rnacentral:rRNA from 1 species